GGGUUGUGGCUCAGAGGUAGAGCACUCGCCUACCAUGCGUGAAACUCUGGGUUCAAUCCAGAGUUCA
rnacentral:tRNA from 1 species